GUUCUAAUGAAAAAAUCGUAGGACACAACAGACUGUUUCUCUAUUGACUUGAGUGACCAUCUACGGGCUCAUAUUGUUUAUCACGAUGUUUAGAUGCUGUGACCAUCCAUUUUUUGUCUUCUUACCCAUCACAGAGGUUGAACUUACUAAGUCUAGAAUAUUUGAUUGACAGUCAGAGUUGCUUCUGUUGCUUAUUUUUUCAGGUUGGAUUCCCUGGUUUUGAUUCAAUGUCUUCUCCUCUAAACAUGUUGAUCAACAAUGAACGUGCAUCAUAUUGAAACCAUUAUUGGGAAAACCAAUUUAAAAAGGUGCAUCUACAAGAAUCCUUCCUUUGUGGUGGAACUCUUUAUCACUAGUAUUUCUAUUUCUUUUGUUGUUAGUUCUACAAUCUUAGCUAUCUUGUCUUGUUGUAUUAAGACCUGGAUGUUGUAUUGCUCUCGAAGCAACAUACUGUGGUUAUCUAUCCUCCUGUGUAAGUUUA